GGGAAGAAAUUGACGAAUCUGUUUUCCUUUUGAAAACUAGGUUUUCGAUAUUUUCUAAAAUAUGUUUUCCCUGUGAAUUGCUUGCCUCCAGGUGUGUGGUGUGUACUUUAGGGUAUUGUUGGUACAGUUGGAGGUACGUUAUGGUACAUAAACUGGACAGAGAGGACGUCUAUUCGUCUUGUCAGCAGUCAUACAGAGAAGAUAAAUUCACUGGUGGCCAGCGGUCCUGAUGACAAAUUCUUUGCGACUUGCUCCGAUGAUGGUAGCUUAAGAGUCUGGACUUCUGAUGACCUCGAACAAACGCUGCAAUUUCAAGUUGUCGAUCAGCGCUGUAAUUGUGUUUCAUUCUGUCCAACACCUCCACGUGAACCAACACAUAAUGUCUUACAAGAUGGUGAAGUGAUAGCCACAGUACAUCCUAACAUGGAACCAGUGGAGAAACCAUUAAGACCAUCACAUUGCGUGGCUGGUUUUGAUGAUGGAACCGUAAGACUCUUUGAUCUUGGAAGAGUUGAAAUGAUUAUGAAAAUACAUCCUCAUUCUGGGGGCGUUACUGUUAUCAAUUUUUCUGCCUGUGGUAAGGACCAGUCGCUGCUUGAUACAUGCAGACU